AUUGAACGCUGGCGGCAGGCCUAACACAUGCAAGUCGAACGGUAACAGGAAGCAGCUUGCUGCUUUGCUGACGAGUGGCGGACGGGUGAGUAAUGUCUGGGAAACUGCCUGAUGGAGGGGGAUAACUACUGGAAACGGUAGCUAAUACCGCAUAACGUCGCAAGACCAAAGAGGGGGACCUUCGGGCCUCUUGCCAUCGGAUGUGCCCAGAGGGGAUUAGCUAGUAGGUGGGGUAACGGCUCACCUAGGCGACGAUCCCUAGCUGGUCUGAGAGGAUGACCAGCCACACUGGAACUGAGACACGGUCCAGACUCCUACGGGAGGCAGCAGUGGGGAAUAUUGCACAAUGGGCGCAAGCCUGAUGCAGCCAUGCCGCGUGUAUGAAGAAGGCCUUCGGGUUGUAAAGUACUUUCAGCGGGGAGGAAGGGAGUAAAGUUAAUACCUUUGCUCAUUGACGUUACCCGCAGAAGAAGCACCGGCUAACUCCGUG
rnacentral:rRNA from 1 species